CAAAGCUCUCCGGCAGUCCUUAGUCUCGGUCUCGGUCUUACGCUUUCAGUCUCUCGGUAUCUCCCCGCCCUCGUACCGAACAGGAUCUUACGGCGAAACGACGUCGUGCGAAGGUGCGGGAAUACGCCGCGUGUAUAUUCCUCACACUGUUCGCAAAACUCUCAUACCUAUCCGCUGUCCUGUGUGUGGAUUCUAACGAUGAAGAGUGAACAGUCCGCGCAACCGUACGCUGUAUACAUGCCUACCGUACCCCCGAUACUUUUAACCUCCUCUUUAAAAGACUCCCGGCUCAGGUACCUGCGCUGACACGAGCGUUUAUCCUCAUCGCCUAUCUAUCCGUCUAUCCCUCCGUAUGAUCCUUCGCUACGAUUCCUAAUCGUCGAUUGUAACAGAUGCAAUUACACACCGACGCUCGCGCCAUAAUGACAACUCUCCGCGUUAUUUUAUAUAUACAUUCGCGCGCGUCCCGCGUUCGCGUCCUGGAUAUAAGCGGCCUAUUAACUACACGUACACAGGUACAUUCAGAUUAUCUAGGUGCAACGGACCGGAUUUUAUCGCGUCCACGAUCUACCCACUUUUUCGCACGCGUCCAGUAUUCUUCUCCGUAUAAUGUUAUCUAAUCGAAUAACACCUGCGUGCAUCUACGACGCAUAGGUAUAUCUCAAUCGGCGUUUACCGCGAUCCUGUUUACCGCUAUCAGUGGAUACUUUUCGUCGUUUUAACAUAGAAACUUAACACCGAAUAUUACGCGAACUCGUAUCUCGUCCGUCGGUUCAACGAGUGCAGUCAUUAAACCGGGUAGGCAUACACCACCGUACCGUACACCGCUUAUACCAUAAAUUGUUUGCGGUUUGAAUUGCGAGCCGGUGCACUCUUGAAGGGGGAGGCGAUGGGGGAGGGGGAUAAGGCGAGCAGCAAAGAUCGUGGGUAAUGAAUUCGUGGUGACUCUUUUCGUGCAACCUAUAGACUUUAUAGGUGAUGAGCCGUUGGUGCUUCUGCUGCCGCUGCCGUUGCCGCUGCUACUUCUGCAUUUCCUUCGUCCACACGGUCGCUACUACUGCCGUGGCAAAGCCGUUGCCGAUGAUCAUCAUCCCCCCACACAUAGCGGGUACAUAUAUAUAACGAAGCUUACGAGUUACGAGCCGCACGUACCAAACUGGUUAGCUAAUGUGCAAGUAAUAACCAACAAUCUGCUUUAACUUGGACACGAGAAGUGGUUGAGUAUUCUUAAGUAACAGGAAAACUAGAAAAAAAAAAAACAAAAAAAAACAACAACAACAAUAAUAAUAAUAAGGAUAAUAUUAAUAUUCCAUUACCUUAUCUCGUUACCGAGAUUAGCCGCCGAUUGCAGCCGGUGGGACAAUGAAAUUACCGUAAUCUCGCAUUGAUCGUUAUCAAGAAUUCGUGAAAUUGUUAUUUUUUUUUUUUGUUCUACAUGGCACCGAAGUAACAAGGUAGAUGAUAAGACGUUGAUACGUUAAAAGAGAGUUCACAAGCUCGUUGUGAUCUCGAGGGGAAGAGUUUCUAGAAAUUCAGGUGAUAUAAUGUAACGUUAUUAUUGUAUUUCAAUCAAAAUUGAUCGACGCAUCGAUUCGACACGGGGGCGAGCGGCUACAGGGAGUUCGAAGAGAUCUAUAAAAGCGAUCUAUAAUUGCAUCGGCACGUCAUAUAAUCGCGAGAGUUCACGGUAUACGAUUAUAACCAUUGGGAAGAAAAGAAGAAACGAAUAAGAAAUGUUGGAAGAUAGAAAGAAAAAAAAAAAAAACAACUAAUAUAUUUCGUCUAAUCUCGUGAUCGGUACGGUGUUGUUACCCGGUAAUGUGCCUCUUUCUUCUUCGGUACCGCGGUUCAAUAUAUGGAGGUGAAAUAAUAUCCGUGAUGAUAAAAUAAGGAUAAUAAUAAAAAGUAAAAAAGUAAAAUAAAAUAAAAUAAAGGAAUAAAAUAAAUGAGUAACGUCUUAGAUGCGUGAAGUCUGACUAUACCUGUACACGAACUUUCCCCGUAAACUCUUGUAUUUUCAUCUUCGGUAGUUUUGCAUCAUUCCAUACGGUAGAACUAGGCGGUGUUCGCGGAAUAGCGCGCGGGUGAAACGGCGGCAAUAUCAUCCCUGUAGCGUCUAGUGUACGUUAGGAAUUACACCGUGCGCGAGGUGUCGAGACCGGGAUGAUUUAGAGUCAUAUUUUCUUGAAGAAUUGCGAGUAUCGGGUUUCGCGGCCUCUUAGGUACGGAGUACGUACGUAUCUUUGGCCACGUCGACUUUCAUAGUUGAAGUUUAGUUAUAGUUGUAGACUAAAAGAUGCUAUCUCGUAAUAGUGCAAUAUACAAUGAAUAUUUAGACUUCGGUACCUAUUAACAUACAAUACUUAUGUGGAGCGGAUCUCUGCGUGCCCACAAUUGUAAAUAUUAUACUACAGAGGUGCGACUAAACGUGUACGCUCUACCCGUACCUGUGACUGGCUCGGAUACGUAGAUAUAGGUAUGUCGUCUCCUGGAAGUUCUGCAUAUUCCGUGGACGCAAUACUUCAAAUUUAUUCCUAUCGUACGCAUUCUCAUUGUGCUAUAUCUACAACGAUCGUUGGAAUUUUCAUCCGCUCAAAAACAAGAAAAAAAAACCCCGAUCACUCGUCAAACAUCAUCGUCACGGAUGAAUUUUAUUCACCUGACAUCGAGUUCUUGGAAAAUUUCACGUACGGUUAAUUAUGCGCUAGUGAAACAAUCUGCACCAUCACCGCGACGUAUGGGGUGUACACAUACGCCAGAUUUUGCAGAAGCUUUCUCAGCAUGUAAAAGCCGGGGACUGCCGCUGCCGGUGUGCAAAGGUAGGGGAGUAAUAUGGAGCUGUGGACAGGACAAUAACCGAAUCAGCAUAGCAACGCGGAAGCGGCUGUAUGAAUUUCUUCGGGAGUUUAUCCCAAAGGGACGCGACCGGUACGCGCAACUUUAAGCGACGUGUAACGUUUUACGUUCAUUGCGACUGAGGACUUGUUGUAUAUAUAUAUGCUACACGUACACAUCUACUCAUACCUUAUUGCACCGGUUAACAUCGUCCCCCUGUUUUAACGUCACGUCCUUAUGCUAAUAAGGAAUAAACCGAGUAUACCUAUGCAGGACGAAUUACGACAAAAAGGAACUCGGAAUUCGAAUCAUACGAUCGGGACAGAAGUAACUGACUCUUCAAGAGCUUUCGUCUUCUCGAGUCAAGUUUAUCUCAAAUAAUUUUAUCGAUUACUCGAGUGAUCUGAUCACUCGCGUUAAUUUUAUAUGAAUUCGAUAUGACCAAAAGGGGGAGGUGGGAAUCGUACGGUCAUUUUUUUUUCGAAUUUCGUUUUUUUUUUCUUCUUUGCUUAUCCGAAGUACACCACCCACCGUAAUUGUUAGCCCCCUGGGUAUUCGUGAUCUCGUUUAAAACAAUCGAUGUAUUUGUUGCAACAGAGAGUCGACUGUAUAUCUAUGCGUGACUGUUUUCGGUUUAUCACUAUCGUAUCUGAUUGAUACCAUUUACGCUUUUAUCAAUCCUCUGCAAUGUUCAACUCUUUUUUUCCUAUUUUUUUUUUUUUUUUUGUUCAGUCACCGGCUCCUGCAGGGUUACCGCAAAGGAUAAUAAUGAAUUGGAGUAGAAAAAAACGCACCGUUCUCGGUUUGAAAAUAGAAAAAAAAGAGACGAAAAAAAAUUAAAAAAAAAAAAAAAAAAAGGUAUCCAGUCAACGUUGUCGCAAACGGAAAGCCGAAGCAAGUCGAGCUGCGCUUAUAAGCUAGCCACCGUGGGCAGUGCGAGAAUUUCUACCCUGGGGGAACAUACGAAGGAGUCGGAGGCUGAAUAGUUAAUUAAUUGCCAAAAGUAAGACACUCUAUCUGAUCUCUCGAAUUUGUAUUGAUAUAUACCAAAAGACGUGUUGUAUAUAAAUUAUAAACUUGCGCGAAGACUCUUAUAUAUAUACAUAUGCGGGGAUUAAAGCUGAAACGUGACGGACGUGUGGAAGGAGUCUGCUUACGCUCAACUUAUAAUUAUUAUUAAAAUAUUACCUAAUUUUAUGUGUAUCACAACUAAGGUAAUCGCAACGUCGUAAAAAUAAAAAUAGUACCCGAGGUAUAAUGAAUUUUCGACAAGUGGAUUCUUCAAAAUUUCAUUAUACAAAUUAUAGCAGCCAAUCGAAUCGAGUGAAUGGCUGAUACCCACAGAGUCUAAUCGGAUGUAACCGUACGAUGAAUGAUUCACCCGCGAAAAAGUCGAAUUAUUUUUCAUUUUGUUUGAUUCAUGGUUUUUUUUUUCUUUUUGCGAUACAGGAAUUCACACCGCUGAUACACGUACAGUGUGUUUUCAGAAUUAUAUUCACCUGACCUGACGAACGACACGCAAGUCCUGCAGUUCGCAACGCUGCACGAUUCUAAUUCCUUAGAAGGUUUAGAAUUGGUGUCAGAGUUCGCAUGGUGGCACUAUACAUGUGUAUGUAUAUAUACACGUUCAAUUUCACCUUAUAUACUUUAAGACCACCGUAUCAUUAUACACACGAAGUUGGGUUUAUCCAGAUAUCCCGAACCGUACAAUCUCCGUUCACUAAUUGAAAGAGACAUCAAUGAUUUUUUGGAAAGCUAAAUAUUAUGAGAUAUUUUUAAUGAUUCUUUAAUAUUAACGAACACCCGUACAAGCGCGUCGAUUUCACGCAUCUUCCGGUUGUGCUCGUCUCGGCCUUUACGGAUCUCCCUCCCGCCCGGAGAGGGUGCGAGUAUACAUUUUAUCUCCUGAACAUUGACAAUAACGGAAGACGGCUGGCACAGGGGAGUGUAUUAUAAUGCAAAGUCUGAUCAGUUUCAGUGCGAGAAAGAGGUGGUCGGAGGUUGAAAGUCAUCGCGGAGGAUCGAACGUAGGCGAACAAAGCGCCCGCAAGAGGCUGAAGACCGCCGCGGGCAUUCGGCUUUCCCUUUCACACGCAGCGUAUACUACACGGGUACACGGGUACACCACAUACACAAGUACCCCUCAUCUAGUCACUAAUCUGCGAUUAUACGCGCUGCUGACGCGGUAUUUCGCAGUUAUGUUACACUCGUAGCGUAAACAAUUUUUAAACAUUACAAGAGAUUCUGGUUAUUCUACAUCUUCUUCUCGCGUACAUUUUUUAUUUUCGUUUGUUUGUUUUUUUUUUUUUUUUUCAAUAAUUUUAUUUUUCAACAUUGUCUUCUUUUCUUUUUUUUUUACGCUCUUUAAUUCAUGUAUUCCUCCCAUAAUUGAUUGCCUGCACAAGCUUGUUAUUAAAUAGGUGUUGUCGCGAAAGUGUGAAAUAAUCUCGCGUCACGAUCCCAUACUCGUACUGAUUUUAUUUUUACAUUUUUUUUUUCUCCGUACCGAUGGAAAGAGGAAAAAAAAAAAAAAAUUUCGUAAGAAAAAGAUGGAACGAUCGUUCACCACACUCGUACUGGUCUGAUUAUAGAAUCUCAACCGUGGUUGAAUAUAUUCACGAGUGCAAUUAUUGACCCCAUUGUCGCAUCUCCUUUUAAUUUUCGUUUUUGAAAUUUUCGGUGUCUUGUCGCUGGUAGAAAUUUGUGCUUUUUUUUUUCUUCUUUCAACCGUUGUUCACCGCGAUUGCUAUUAUUCGGCUUGGGAAAAUAGAUCGUCGAAUGCGGACCAGUUUUUGAUAGCACAUGGGCAAAUUUUUCGACUUUCACAACGAUCCGGCUCCUUGGUCGAUCGGUGUGCCGAGCGCUAGAGCAUGACGAGGAUGAGACUGUUUUUUCUCUCUUUUAUUUUUGUGCGCAUUUUUAUAUUUUUUAUUUUAUAAUCUUCAUCUUCGCUUCUUUUUCGUUUCUUUUUAGUUACUCGUUUUUUUUUUUUUUAUUAUUUAUUUGAUUUUUUUUUUAAUGCGAAACAUCGACUGGUAUGCCAAGGACUAGAUUUAUAAUUAGCAUUGCUCUAUCAUCCAGUAUAAAUCCUGAACGAAUUUGCAUUCGAUGUUUGUAUACAUAUAUAUAUAUAUACACGUGCAGUAGUAGGUAUAAGUUUAUAACUGGGAGCACUGCACAAGUAUCAAGUUAAACCACAUAUACGAUAUCCUGGCGAACAACACCGGUAAAAUCUAUAUAAUUUCUACCUAUCCUUGAACACAACUGGUGGUCAUUCCGAACACUAUAGUACCAGAUAUCGAUGUCAGGCAUAAUAACGUGGACCAGGAUUCCGUAAUAUUUUUUUUUCAUUUCAUUUUUUCUAUUUUUCAUUUUUUAUCACUCGUUUCAGAAAACUGGAAAAAAUAAAAUGAAAAAAUAAAACAAGUCGAAAACAAGGACGAAGAUGAGGAUUUUUGAGGCCACCUCCGCACGUAUUCUUUCUCAUUUUUUUUUCGUUAGUUUUAAAUAACGAUUUCUAAGAUGAUCACCCCGUUGAUUUACAAACUCGCAUACCGAUCGCAGAUUUCCAGACAUCCUUGCGGUGCUUCGAUACCGGGAUGGUUAUACCUAACAUUUGGUCGAGCUUUAUGUAGCAUACAGUAUAUCUAAUAAUCAUUCAUUUGUAACUGUG